rnacentral:tRNA from 1 species
GGAGGUGGCUAGGGCACUGGUGGCUCUCCCGGACUUCAAAUCCGGUGUACGGCGUGAACAGCGUCGUAGGUGGGUUCGAUUCCCAUCCACUUCCGCCA